GAUUGUAGUCAAGAUGUUGUCUGAGGCCACAGUUGUCUGAAGACUGGAGCCAAAGGAUCCACUUCCAGGAUGGCCUGAUGGCAUGACUAUUGGCAAUAGGCACCAGUUCAUCAUUGGCUGUUGUCAGAAGGCCUCAAUUCUUCACCAUAUGGAUCUCUCCAUAGGGCUCUCCAUUGAGAGUCCUCCCAGCAUAGCAGCUGGCUUCCCCCCAGAUCGGCUGAGACAGAGCAGGGCAGAAGCCAGAAUGUCUUUGAUAAUCAAGCCUCAGAAGUCAUACUUUGUCAUUCUCACAAUGUCCUGUUGGUCAGGGAGGGGAUAUGCAAGGGCACGAAUAACAGGAGGUAGAUGCCAUUGGGGGCCAUCUUGGAGGUAUGCUACUGCAUGCCUUGUCUGGACAACGUUCUUGGCUUGUGGUUCCUGGCCCUCUGGGGGAGGGUCCUGUGGAUCCAAAGUACACUCAAGAAAGCAAAGAGCUAUCAAAGUCAGACAGCUAUUCUACAUGUCUGAAAAGGAAACUGGAAAUUCUGGCUAUGAACCUAUGGACCCCAAAGACUCUUUUAAUUUUGCUCUUUUGGAAUCCGAAAGAAAGACAAACUUUUCAAAGUGAAUCCAACUGAUGAUGAAAACAAGACGUGAUCCUAGGGUUCCUUACGCCAACUCCAUGACCUUCUAUGCUGUCCUGUGAGCUCUCCCUGGUUCCCUGCUAGUUAUAUUAGUCAAAGUCCAGUUGAGAAAAUAGGAAAUACUCUAAGGGUUUCGAGCAGAAGGAACUCUAUGCACAAAAUUGUUGACACAUGCAAUGAAGAAACUGAGAAGCCAAACAGGAGAAGGUAGAACAAUCCAGAGAGAAGCAAGUGCAGGACUAGCUCUAAGGCUGGAGGGAUGUAGGGCAGAGCCGGGUCAGGGACCUGGAAGGGGGCUUGGCGGGCUGAAGCUGGAGCUGUGGUGGUCCUGUCCUCUGGGAUCUGCAGGCACAGGGGAGCUCCAGCUACUGAGGCAGACAGCAAGAAGGAGAAAUUCUCUGACGUCUCCCUUCCUCUUGUCCUCCAGUCUUCUUCCAGUGCCUUCCAUGGACACCAGGGAACACACAGAUGAAGCAGAGAAGAGGAAGAGGAAGGAGGAGGGAUCUGAGGGCACCAGGCCCAGGACUGGCUCACUGGUGGUGGGUGGGCAGCAGAUUUUGUUUUCCAAAAGACAAAAGACCCUGAUAAUAUUUCUGGCCCUACUUGUUCUUCUAGAACCAUGAUACUCUCCCAUCAGAUGGAGUCUGAGUCCCCCUCCUUCAUCCUGCGUGGGACUUUGUGAUUGCCUCCAUGAAUAGAAAUGAGACAGAAAUGAUGCUAAGUGACUUCUGAGAACCAUCCACAGAAGCCAAUACAGCUUCCAUCUGGUUUUUGCUCUUGGGAUGCUCUCCCUUAGAACUCAGCAACCAUACUAUGAGCAAGUCCAAACCAGCCCAAACAGAGAGUCCACAUGGAGAGGCCCAGGAGGAGAGAAACUGAGAUCUCAGAUAUCAUGGAGCAGAGACAAGCUGUCCCUCAUGUUCCUUGUCUGCACUUCUGACCUGGCCAGCAUUGUGCCCAGCCAAAAGACGACAUCCCCAGCUUUGCUAGACGCUUAGAAGAGGCGGAUAAUAUAUAAGGACAAAUCUUCAGAAAAGCUUCUUCGGCUGGGAGGAGUCCCCUUUGCCCCUGCCCUUCCCCUUCUUCCUAGACCUGUCCUGCCUGGAAUGACGGUGGGUGGAGCUCCAGCAGCCUUCUUGUGACCUUGAGGAUGGAAGCCCCGCGCGAAGGAAAGCAAAGCUGAAAUAUUGAAGGAGCCUGGGGUCCUGAUGACUGCAGAGCUGCCUGACCACCCCCAGACUGCCUACUGCUAGACUCUUUUUUUAUAAGAGAGAAUAAACUUCAAAUCUGUGUAA